CAGUCGCCGCGGGAAUACGUAGGGUGCAAGCGUUAAUCGGAAUUACUGGGCGUAAAGCGUGCGCAGGCGGUUAUGUAAGACAGUUGUGAAAUCCCCGGGCUCAACCUGGGAACUGCAUCUGUGACUGCAUAGCUAGAGUACGGUAGAGGGGGAUGGAAUUCCGCGUGUAGCAGUGAAAUGCGUAGAUAUGCGGAGGAACACCGAUGGCGAAGGCAAUCCCCUGGACCUGUACUGACGCUCAUGCACGAAAGCGUGGGGAGCAAACAGGAUUAGAUACCCGUGUAGUCCCUGUCUCUUAUAC
rnacentral:rRNA from 1 species